rnacentral:rRNA from 1 species
UACAGAGGGUGCGAGCGUUAAUCGGAAUUACUGGGCGUAAAGCGUGCGUAGACGGUUAUUUAAGUCGGAUGUGAAAGCCCUGGGCUCAACCUGGGAAUUGCAUUCGAGACUGAAUAGCUAGGGUACGGUAGAGGGAAGUGGAAUUUCCGGUGUAGCGGUGAAAUGCGUAGAUAUCGGAAGGAACAUCAGUGGCGAAAGCGACUUCCUGGACCAGUACCGACGUUCAGGCACGAAAGCGUGGGGAGCAAACGGG